rnacentral:sRNA from 2 species
CAUCACCACUCAUCCACGCAUGGCAGGAGCGGGGGACCCAGGUAAGCCGCCCGGUCCGUCCUUCCCCAACGGACCGGCUAGGGGUGAAGCCGCGCACAGUCACCGGCGAACGCCGGACGACGCGCGCGGCCGGGCAUCUCCAGCCCGAACCCGACAGCUCACCUCGCAGGCGCUGGAGAGGAAUU